rnacentral:lncRNA from 1 species
CUUGGGUUUGUGUGGGGAUAUCGAAUCACAGAAUGGUUUGGGAAGGAUUCUCCUUAAAGACCUUAAAGAUCACCUCGUUCCGUGGUUCCAUGGCCCCAUCCUGAAUUAAGACAAUUUACAAAUUCCUGUCAAAGUCAGGGAAUAUUUUUUUUUAUUUUUUUUUUUUGCCCAAGGGGGAAAAAAAUUAACAACCACAAAAAAAAAAAAAAAGGAAAAAAAAGGGAACUCACGAUUGAAGCUUUUUAAUUUUUGUUGUUUUGACAGCUUCUAAACGGCACCAUUCAUUUCACAAGUGCUGCAAUGUUUCAGUUAAACAUUUUCCAGGCAGAAUAUGCUCCCUUUCCCUUUGAAGCGCUGCCUUCCCAGAGAAAAGUUUGACUCAGAUCAGAAAGUGGGAGUGUGGUGGGAAAAACAACCCGAGGAAGAAUGGAAAUGAGCUGUUCCAGCACAUCCCGAGGUUUAUGGCGUGCCCUCCCCCACUCCUGCUUGAUUGAAACCCAGGAAUUUCUCCUGCUGUUUUGCGGCUGAGGCUGUGUUUGUCCCGGGAUAUAAUCCCGGGAUUAUCCCAGGAUUAAACAGGGAGGUCCUGGGCGGGGGCAGCUUCUCUGUCCUCACUCAGCCCAUGGGAUUUUGUAGCUCUGGGAUGUUCCAGCUUGGGAAAAACCUCUCUUGAACCCUGGAAAACCGGGCUGAUCAUCCUUACAUGCAGAAAAAUUGGGUUUUCACUUCUGCCUGGCCACACUCCUCCAAAAAUCCAGGCAGUGAGAGGAGGUUCCCGAGCUCUGUCAGACACUUCCAUGUCAGCAGCAGCAGCCCUGUCCCUCCCCUGGCCCAGGGAAUCACAUUCCCAGCAGGGUGGGAAAUGUUCCUGAACAGAAAUGCCUACAAACCCAAAAGGUUAAAUCUGAAUUCAAAACAACAGCAACCAAAACAACCCCAAACCAGAGCUACAUUGAAGAAGUGAGGUGGAUAAAUGUUUUGGCAGAGCUUUGCCCGCAGGGAUCUCGCCGGCCAUUUCAGGGGAACAGCAGAGCCUGGCCCUGGCACCUGGGAUCCUUCCUGAGCCUGUCCUGGCACCUGCAGCCCUGUGGGAUCCAUCCCAAAUAGUGUGGGAUCCAUCCCAAAUAGUGUGGGAUCCAUCCCAAAUAGUGUGGGAACCAUCCCAAAUAUCAUCCUGGUGUAGGAUCCAUCCCAAAUAUCAUCCUGGUGUGGGAUCCAUCCCAAAUAUCAUCCUGGUGUGGGAUCCAUCCCAAAUAGUGUGGGAACCAUCCCAAAUAGUGUGGGAUCCAUCCCAAAUAUCCAUCCCAGUGUGGGAUCCAUCCCAAAUAUCCAUCCCAGUGUGGAAUCCAUCCCAAAUAUCAUCCCAGUGUGGAAUCCAUCCCAAAUAUCAUCCCGGUGUGGGAUCCAUCCCAAAUAUCAUCCUGGUGUGGGAUCCAUCCCAAAUAUCAUCCUGGUGUGGGAUCCAUCCCAAAUAUCAUCCUGGUGUGGG